rnacentral:rRNA from 1 species
UUGGGAGCUCACUAGCUUCGGAUUCCAUGGGAACUCCGAAGUUAAGCGAGUUUGGGCUAGAGCAAUCUCAAGAUGGGUGACCCACUGGGAAGUUACUCGUGAGUUCUCAGA